CGCAUAUUGCGCCCUUUGGUAUUCCGAAGGGCAUGCCUGUUCGAGCGUCAUUAUCACCCCUCAAGCCCGGCUUGUUGUUGGACCGCGCCCCCGGAGACGUGGACCGGUCCCAAAGAUAAUGACGGCUGUCUGUGAGGACUCCAGUACACUGAGCUUUCGGGCACGUACUCGGCUAGAAAUCCAGGCCCGUCCAACCGACCCUUCCCCUCGGGGGAGGCUCAUUUUUACCAAGGUUGACCUCGGAUCAGGUAGGAAUACCCGCUGAACUUAA
rnacentral:misc_RNA from 1 species